UUGGGAAUCAACUACGUGAUUUAUAUCAAGAAAUCAUUAAUUCUAAAAACCUAACAUUCCAAAGAAUCAACAAUUACAUAGCAACAAAUCAGGAAACAGUAUCAUCUCCAAAUCAACAAUUAAAUCACAAUAACCGGUGAUGCUCCUCUCUUUAUCUCUGUUUGAUUUUUUUAACGAUCGGAAGCUUCAGGGGGUAUUGUAGAUGUGUGUAUGUGUGCGUGGUUUUAGAGAACAUAGAAUGGGUUUGGAUGAAUUUUGGUCAAUUUUUUCGAUUUCAGGACUGGAUGUUUGGGGGUUUUUCAAUUAUUCAGUCGUCGUUUUGUGCUUUACCUACACAGUCUGAUUCCUCAAUAUGACGAAGAAGUAGAUCCAUACGAAGGGUUAUUCGUAUAUAAGCAUACCAAAAUUCUCAGGAUCAAAGAACAGUCGGAAGAUCCACACCGGGGAAGGAGAAAUCAAGGAGGGAUCACCGAAGCUCCUGAAUAAAUUAGCAUUAUAAAGGUAAUUCAUUCCAAUUUUUUUUGUCAAUUUCCCUAUUUGGUCGAUUUGCUGAAAGUAAUCCUACAGGUUUCAACCCUAAUUUUUAGAUAUGCUUAUCAUUAGACCUCCUUUCUCUUCUCCAAUCCUCUAUCUGACAUCAGGGGUGAUUAUGUUUCGUGUUUCGAAUCUACUAUUUUGCUCAAUAUCAUCAUCAGACUUGCUUUCUCUUCUCUAAUCCUUAAUAUUUUUAGAUAUGCUUAUCAUCAGACCUCCAAUCCUCUUUCUGGCAUCAGGUAUGAUUGUGUUUUGUGUUUCCAAUCCACUUGAAGCUUUUGUCUCCAUGUUGAAGUUCUCCCACACGUUGUGGCUUUCACCCAACUCGCUUUGAGUGAAAUUGAUUAGAUUCUGAUUCUCAUGAAAGCUUACUUUUGAUUUUUUGGAUUUAUGUUUUCGUUUACAGAUUGAUGGUUAGUGAUAUAUGAGAUUCAGUUCAGUUAGAAGCUGAUGAUGCACCAAGAAGAAGUUUUGUGUAUCAAGGGUCGAUAAUAAACGAAUCUUGCAACUAGAUAAAUUUUUGUGAAGGAUGGCCGCUAUAACCGGUGCUGUCAAGAAAUAGCAACGUACUCUCAAUAUUAAAUUUUAAAAUAAACGAAAAUGGAGAAUACAGGGGCAAUUUAGGUAUAUUGGUAUAUUGUUUUUAUUUAAUCCUAUUUUUCAUGUUAUUAAAGAACAACAAACAUUAGGCUAACUUUUAAAUUUACAUUGGGUUGACAUGAAUUAAAGGGGA